rnacentral:rRNA from 1 species
AUGGUCAAGUGAAUAAGCGCACAUGGUGGAUGCCUUGGCGAUAAGAGGCGAUGAAGGACGUAGUAAUCUGCGAUAAGCGUAGGGGAGCUGAUAAACAAGCUUUGAGCCUACGAUUUCCGAAUGGGGCAACCCACUUACCCUUGGGUAGGUAUCGUUAAGUGAAUACAUAGCUUAACGAGGCGAACCCGGCGAACUGAAACAUCUAAGUAGCCGGAGGAACAGAAAUCAACCGAGAUUUCCUAAGUAGCGGCGAGCGAACGGGAAACAGCCUGCAAGUGAUAUUAAGCAUUUUAGUGGAAUGGUCUGGAAAGGCCUGCGAUAGAGGGUGAUAGUCCCGUACACGAAAAGGUGCUUAAGGUACUAGGCUUGCGACAAGUAGGGCGGGGCACGUGAAACCUUGUCUGAACAUGGGGGGACCAUCCUCCAAGGCUAAAUACUCCUUAUCGACCGAUAGUGAACCAGUACCGUGAGGGAAAGGCGAAAAGAACCCCGUUGAGGGGAGUGAAAUAGAACCUGAAACCGUGUGCGUACAAGCAGUGGGAGCCCCAUCACUAAGCUAUUUUUUUAGUGAUGCGUUAUUAAACACCUUUGAUUGGGAGGUGGCGAGCGAGAGCGAGCCCAACCAACAAAACAAGCCGCCACAAGCAAAUGGUGAGCGAGCGUUUUUGUUGAGGUGGCGAGCGAGAGCGAGCCCAACCUAACCUAACCAAACAAGCAGAGGUAGCUUAGUGAUGGGGUGACUGCGUACCUUUUGUAUAAUGGGUCAGCGACUUAAUUUCAGUAGCGAGCUUAACCGAAUAGGGGAGGCGAAGGGAAACCGAGUCUUAAUAGGGCGACGAGUUGCUGGGAUUAGACCCGAAACCUGGCGAUCUAUCCAUGGUCAGGCUGAAGGUGAGGUAACACUUACUGGAGGGCCGAACCCACGUCUGUUGAAAAAGACGGGGAUGAACUGUGGAUCGGAGUGAAAGGCUAAUCAAGCCAGGAGAUAGCUGGUUCUCCUCGAAAGCUAUUUAGGUAGCGCCUCGUGUCUCACUCUCGGGGGUAGAGCACUGUUUGGGCUAGGGGGUCAUCUCGACUUACCAACCCCAUGCAAACUCCGAAUACCGAGAAGUGCAAUCACGGGAGACACACGGCGGGUGAUAACGUCCGUCGUGGAAAGGGAAACAACCCAGACCAUCAGCUAAGGUCCCAAAAUUAUGGCUCAGUGGAAAACGAGGUGGGAAGGCACAGACAGCUAGGAGGUUGGCUUAGAAGCAGCCACCCUUUAAAGAAAGCGUAAUAGCUCACUAGUCGAGUCGGCCUGCGCGGAAGAUGUACCGGGGCUUAAGCCAUAUACCGAAGCUAUGGAUGCCAUCCUAUGGAUGGCAUGGUAGAGGAGCGUUGUGUAAGUCUGUGAAGGUGAGUUGAGAAGCUUGCUGGAGAUAUCACAAGUGCGAAUGCUGACAUGAGUAACGAUAAAGGGGGUGAGAGGCCCCCUCGCCGAAAAUCCAAGGUUUCCUGCUCAACGCUAAUCGGAGCAGGGUGAGUCGGCCCCUAAGGCGAGGCAGAAAUGCGUAGUCGAUGGGAAACAGGUUAAUAUUCCUGUACCGUUUGUUACUGCGAUGGGAUGACGGAGAAGGUUAGGUCAGCCAGCGGUUGGAAGUGCUGGUUUAAGCGUGUAGGCAGUGUUUUUAGGCAAAUCCGAAGACACAAUGCCAAGGCGUGAUGACGAGUUCCGUAGGGAACGAAGUGAUUGAUACCCUGCUUCCAGGAAAAGUCUCUAAGCUUCAGGUAACAGAUGACCGUACCCCAACCGACACAGGUGGAUGGGAUGAGAAUUCUAAGGCGCUUGAGAGAACUCGGGWGAAGGAAUAGGCAAAA